rnacentral:rRNA from 1 species
CUAGCCCUAAACCAUCAGGACUUGGGGUUUGCCCUGUACGGGGCAAGUCCCGUAGCUAACACGUCAAGUCCUGCGCCUGGGGAGUACGGUCGCAAGACUGAAACUCAAAGGAAUUGACGGGGGCCCGCACAAGCGGUGGAACAUGUGGUUCAAUUCGACGCAACGCGAAGAACCUUACCUGGGCUUGAACCGCACAGGACCAUCUUUGGAAACAGAGACUUCCCGCAAGGGACCUGUGUAGAGGUGCUGCAUGGCUGUCGUCAGCUCGCGCCGUGAGGUGUUGGGUUAAGUCCCGCAACGAGCGCAACCCUUACUCUUAGUUGCCACCCGCAAGGGGGAACUCUAAGAGGACUGCUCCGGAUAACGGAGAGGAAGGU